AGGCCGAUCACACAGCAAGCCCUCUCGU
rnacentral:sRNA from 1 species